ACCUGGCUGGCUCAGUUGAUAGAGUAUGAAACUCUUGAUCUCAUGGUCAUGAGUUCAAGCCCCAUGUUGGACA
rnacentral:tRNA from 1 species